AAAAAUUUUGUCUCUCUCUCUUAUGGCACUGAGACAUUUUUUUGCUCCUGGUCUUUGAUAUUUGAACUCCAGGCUCUCUGACCUUUGAACUCCAGGACUUAAGACCAGAAAUCCCCCAGGUUCUCAGGUGUUUGGCCUCAAACUGAGAAAUACACCAUUGGCUUCUCUUGUUCUGAGGCUUUCAGACUUGGACUGAACCAUGCGACCAGCAUCCCAGAGUCUCCUCCAGCUUGCAGGUGGCCUAUGAUGGGACUUCUCAGUCUCCAUAACUGUAAAAUAGAAUUUGGAAGGUAUUUAUGGAAGAGGAAAGUGGAGAAUGAAGAGUGGGAAACAGCAAGUGGUUAAUAUUAAGACACAUAUGGAAAACUUACACCAUAUGAGACACAUCCAUUGGCACUCUAGACCACCUACAGAAUUACAGAUGGGAGUCUCAUGAUCUUUAUACUUCAUCAAAUAGUUCAUACUCUCUGCCCAGGUCUUAUCUGUGUUUUCUUAGAAGAACAUAAAAAUGUAAUAUGACUCUACCAUCAAAAAAUGUGUCAAUAAAACUUAAACACAGUUUAAAAAAUUAA
rnacentral:lncRNA from 1 species